rnacentral:rRNA from 1 species
UACGAAGGGGGCUAGCGUUGUUCGGAUUCACUGGGCGUAAAGGGUGCGUAGGCGGUCGGGUAAGUCUGAUGUGAAAUCUCACAGCUUAACUGUGAAACUGCAUUGGAUACUAUCCGGCUCGAGGAAUGGAGGGGAGACUGGAAUACUUGGUGUAGCAGUGAAAUGCGUAGAUAUCAAGUGGAACACCAGUGGCGAAGGCGAGUCUCUGGACAUUUCCUGACGCUGAGGCACGAAAGCCAGGGGAGCAAACGGG